CAGGCUGAGCCCCCCCAGGGCGCGGAGCAGCCCCUCAUCCAUCCCCGGCGGCCCCGGGGCCGGGGCGGGGCGGGGCCGGGGGUCCCGGGCGGGGCCGGGGCAGCGGGGGGGCCCGGAGCCCGCCCCGGUGUGCGCGGACGGGGGGAGGAGCAGGCCUGGCGUCCCUCAGUGAAGGGUGGUUUGAUCGCAAGUGAAAAUGAAAGCAGCCUCGAAGGGAAACGUACAGGAAAGAAGGGGCGUUUGCGGCUCGUAAUGAUCUAAAACGAAGAUUCGUCUCCAAAUGCUCAGAGAGAUGCGAACACAAGAGCCAGUGCUGAAAGCGUUCAGUCCCAAUGUGCUGUGAAGUACAGGGCAUCCCAGGAGAGAAUCAUCACAUCCCUCCAGAGCAGUGGAGCUACCUGCAGGCCCCCAGACACACCCUGGUAUUUUAAUUCGUGUGGUUCUUUUUUCCCUUUUUUUUUUUCCCCCCCACCAACAGCAAUGGAGCUAUUGCAGCCCACCCCAGAAGCAGACACGGAUUCUAAGCAGAUGCAGGUUAUUCUUUACACUUAACAUCCUUGGUGGCCAACUGAAGUCCUUCCAUGGUGGAAUCAAAGUGAAAAGUUUCUGUAAGAAAGAAAAAAGAAGGAGGUUCUACUGAAAGAUCACAACAGUGCAGACUGUAGGAAGACUUUACUGGUUGCAAUUCCAAGCCCUCAGACUGAGAAGAGUUCACCUGCCUGGUACUUCUAAAAGUCUCCUCCUUUCUCAUACUCAGCUGUUGGUUAUUUCUUUAAAAAGUGAAAAAGAAUGGAGAGGAAGAAGAUGCUGGAAAGCAAAAGUUACAAAAUGAAAGGAUAAUGGAAGAGAAGAAUACAUGGGUAACAAACCUAGAGACAGCAAGGACCUAGCAACCUCAAGGCUGAAAAAUUCCAGUGUAUUUUUUUUUUCUCUACACAGCACAAACAUAACAAAUAGCCAUUCAAGCAAUACUACUAUAGCAUAGCUACACCUCAUUGUUUUCUUAUGUUGCAAUUUUUUCCCCCUGUAACAUUCACUCAAGACCUUACAGGCUUGCAAGGUAAGGAAUUUUAUGUGUGGUCCCAGCAUAAUCUGAUGUUUACUCUUUUCUGAGAGCUCCAGAAGUACUUUUCUGGGUAGCUCUUAUUCCCUCUGGUAAUUAUGCUCUCUGCUUAAGUAAAUUUUGGGGCAGGUCUUCCUGGUAAGCACUGUAAAAGGCAGAUGAGGUUUUCUGGUCAAAAUUCUACACACUUUUUCAUGCUUAGUUUAGUAAAAAAUUUUAAAUGUCAAAGGAUAAGAGAAAGUAUUUUUUCAUUACAGUUGCAUUAAAAUAGCAACUGAAAAAGAUUUGGCCCUGGGAUUAUUUUUUUUUGUGGCACUGCUGGAAGACUGGUUUAAUUUGCUUUGUAUAUUUCAGAUUAUUUUUUCCAUGCUAGCUGAAAGACAGUCCUGCCCACACCAGCUACAUGUUCCUGCUCCUUUGCCUGUGUCCUGUGAAUUUCAUGGCUCCUGGACAAUUUCUUUCAGCAUGAUGGUCCAGACUGAAAACUUUCGGGAUAUCUUCAUGCAUUGGAUGAUAGAGCUGAACUGCUUCGCCCUGGCUGCGGAAAAGGGAAGCAACAGGCAUCGGAUGGCCUGGGAAGGAGGAGCAAUAACACACGUCAUCCAGAGGUUUGUCUCCUCAAAGCCAAGACCCUGCCGGGCUGUGGACUUAGUGCAAAGUGAUCACUACGCUUCAAAACCAAACACAACAGCUUUUAUUGAGCACUAGUCCUGCAGAUAAAUGCUUAAACUGGCACGUGGUUUUGUCUUCUUGCUCUGCAUUUGUACAGCAGCUGGCACUCAGGAGUCCUAGUCUAAGGAGAUCUUCUAGGCUCUAAAAUAAUGCUGUUUUCACUGAUCUCAGCAUUUUUAAGGUCAGGACCUCUUGCUUAAUCUGAACAAAUACAGAUGUGCUGCCAAUGCUGCAAUAAGGAGCUCUCACAAUUCAAGAUUAACCCUGUGUUUUCACAGGGGAACACCACCACUGUUCACUCUCCCAUUUGAACAAAAACACCUUUACACAACAUGAAUACAGAAGCAUGAUCAUCUGGUUAACAUAUUAAGUUGUGCUUGUACAGUAAUGCUCAGUUUACUCUCAAAUCAUGAUCGUAUCAGCCCUGAUUUUCUGUGAUUUGAAAAGCUUUCAUGAGGAAUGGCUCAGUUUUCUUUUUUUUCCUGACAUUUUAUGAAAUCAAAUCCAUUUUACCAUUUAUAGUUGUUCACUUGAGCAGUUUUACAACCACUCUGGGACACUGUUGUUGGCGAAUCUGCUUUAAUCAGCAACCAGAAGAGAGUGAUUUUGUGGUAAGGAAAGACAGCCUUACCCCUCAAAACCAGGGGCGCCAUUGACCAGAAAAAAAUCACCUGCCUUUUGCAGAACUUACACAUCCAGACUUCAGAGGACAGUUACAUUACCCACCUGGAGUCCGGCCAGGUGUCUGUGUCACCCAGUGUCCUGUGCCUGACAGUGAGCUCGAGUCGAUUGAAAACUCUUAGAGACUUUUUCUUUAUUUUAUUUUUUUUUCCCCCCAACAUCCUAACAUCUGUAUAAGCUCACAAGCAGUAUUCCAUCUGAAGGUAUGGUUGCAGGGUGUGUGGUCCCUGCUAUUGGAGCUGAGUGCCAUCCUGCCCCUCGUGCCAGCAGCAGUGCAGCCCUGUCCACUCCCUGGCCCCAGCUCUGGCACUGAGGGGGAUCUUACACAAGCUUAUCUAAACUCGCCAGCCCAGCAGAAAACCAUCCAUUUGUCUCCUGUGGGGUUAGUUAAGUUGCAGCUUUCAUGUUAGCCAGGGAGUGCAGGGCUGGUGCCUGGGCUGGGGCUGGAGGAAGGGCCCGGAGCUGCGCAGACUGCAGCUCCAGAGCAGCCCAAACCCAGCCAGCCUCUGGUGUCUAAUCUUCUUCCUCCAAGAGCCACUGGGACUUUCCCCUGACUAAUUUCAGAUGUUCAACUGGAGGAAAAAAAAACAACAAACCCCCAACACAAAAUCCCCGGCCUUCACUUCCCUCCUCCUCCCAAAACAAAGGCCUAAUCAGUUUAGCCUUCCCAAGUCGCAGGCUUUGCUGAGCCCCGAAGCUGCUGUAAGGAGGAUGGGACCGUGCAGCCAGGGCCAGCACAACCAACCCUUACACAGGCUUUGUCUCCAGCUGAGCACGCCAUCCCAGCACAGAGCUUCACCACCAAGAAGGAGCAGCGUGCAAAACCUUUCAGCCAAACAAACACUGGCUGGGAAUGUUCUCUGAUGGCAAAGUACACAUUUCUUUCAUUCUGUAUCCCUGGAACUAACACCAAGCAGCACAGUUGAAUAACAGACUGCAAUCUCAGGUACCAGCCCGGGGUUUGGGACGUUUUGUUCCACACCCACAGGCAGCAGCUGACUCAGACACACGGGGCUGUGGGUCACUUCUGCUGGGCUCCCAGCAAGCAGGAGGGGAAGGCUGAACCGUGUGGGGAGUAGCAUGGCAGACAGACAAACGGGUGAAAUCUAAUCUAGAAACCCUAGUUUCUUGGAUUCAGCAACCAGAUAAAGGGUAUGGACAAUGAGGCAGGACACUGCUAAUAUAUCUCUUGCUUUCUUGAAGAAUGCAAAGGAAAAAAAAAAAAAGAGAAUUUUUUUUUUUUUUCCAGGUUUAAUCACUAUUUCCUUAGAGGAGGAGAGUGGAGCUCUCCACAUUUGUGUUUCAGCAUAACAGGAUUUUAAUCAAUAAACCUGGACACUUCUGGGGAGCAGCUUAGGUUACAAAUCCAUGCUGAGACUGACAGUAUCAUAAGCAAAAAUCUUGCUUGUGGAGUGUUCACAUUUGGAAUAUCACAAACAUGUAACUUAUAAAAAUAUGUGGCUGGCAUAGAGUGAGUAUUUGGUGAAAAUAUUUUUCUAUUUACUUACAAAAUAUUUUAGUAUUUGAUUAUGUAAGAGGACAAUUGACAAUUUGCUGAGAGCACCUUCAAAGUCAGUGCUGUCUGUAGGAUGGGGUUCAGAGAGAUUCCCCCAGCUUCCCUAUAAUGGCAGCUGCUACAGGUUAAUCAGCAAAUGACCUUAAAUGUCAUUUUCGUAAUCAAUAAUAUAAAGAUGCAUAUAAUCAAAUCAGUCCCAAUUCGAGGUUACAAUUCCAACCCAGACUAUUCAAUUAGUUUAAAUCUGUCACAAACCUCCACUGUGAAAAUGGUAAAUUAAGUAACCUAAAAGGUCAGUUUCUGCUUUUGUAACUGUCCCAGCACAGCACAUGUCCACCUCUUCAACUCCUUCUCCAGCCCUUGACUCCUGCUCAUGUCAGGCACAAGACACCAGGUCAGCCAGCCCCCUUGCCAGACCCCACAUGGAUGAUAUUCCCACAGUCUUGUGACUUCAGGAUAGGAAUAAUUCAAGCCCAGGGAUAUGGAAUAAUUUUUCUGGCUCAAUUUGCCCAACGUGCAUGUUAUUCUACUUUCAUGUACCUCAGUUUACUGAUUUUAAAACUACAGGUUAAUCCAUUUUCCACUUUGGAAAGAACAUUUGUUGGAAAAUGAUACAGAAGUUAACCUGGCAUUUUGCAGCUGGCUCCAAGUCCUUCCUUCUUAUCACAACCUACCUACAGUAUCUCUCAUAAACAAACUGAAGGAACUUUGCCAAGUUACCAUAGGGUUCAAAAAUUCACAAGACAAGCAUGAACCUGAUAGCAUACUUUCCUAUACUCUGUAGCACAUUUUGUCCCACCAAAUGAAAGUAUUCAUGAAAAAUUAACACUUCGAUAUUUGGAGUCCUAUUGCCACCUCCUUCUGCUGAUUCUCUACUGAAAAGCAGAACUGUCACUUUUUCAUAACUUGGUGAAAUACUGUUUUACGGCUCAGAUAGUGCUCUGCGUAAUGAGACCUGCAACAGUCAGCGUUGCCCUCCCUGCUGAAGAGACAAGGAAAAUCGGACUGAGAUGACAUGAUUCACAACAGUUCACCACAGUAAUCAAACUGGGAAUAAAGUCCAGCUCACAGGCAUCCUAGAUCACUGCCUUCACUUUGCCAGGCAGGGUUUUGAUUUCAGAGAGAGAAAAUUAAUAUGUUUUUAGUAACAAAAUCCUGCCUUCUCUUUUCCCUAUUCAGACUUGAAAAAAAACCCCAAACAAAACAAACCAACCCUCAAUCCUAACUUAAGAAAAAGAUGAAGCAAGUUGGGUGAUACUAAACACAACUUAAACAAUGGUAACAACCGAUGUUAUUUAGAUAUUUGGUCAAGCAUAACACAAGAAGGAAUCACAUUCACAAAUGUGACUGAUUACCUUUUUCUUCAUGUAGAAUUUAAGAUGGUCAGUCACGACAGUCAACACUGGGGCAGGUCACGAUGUUCUCCUCUAUCACCCCUUGAAACUGCUCCCUUUCUGGAUGUGUUUCAGAAGAGUCCUGGUUUUCUUGGCAUUUUUUAUUUAGAUCUUCAAGAUUAAUAUCAUCUAAAAAAUAAACAAAUGACAAAUGCAGCUGAAGUCACCUGAAA